rnacentral:sRNA from 1 species
CUUGGUCAUUUAGAGGAAGUAAAAGUCGUAACAAGGUUUCCGUAGGUGAACCUGCGGAAGGAUCAUUACCGAAGUACAGGCCCUCUCGUAGGGCUAAACUUCCACCCUUUGUGAACUACACUUUGUUGCUUUGGCGAGACGCCCUCGUGGCCACCGGCUCCGGCUGGUGCGCGCUCGCCAGAGAAAACCCAAACCCAAACCAUAUUUAGUGAUUUGUCUGAAAACAAGUUUAAUUAUUUAAAACUUUCAACAACGGAUCUCUUGGCUCUGGCAUCGAUGAAGAACGCAGCGAAAUGCGAUAAGUAAUGUGAAUUGCAGAAUUCAGUGAAUCAUCGAAUCUUUGAACGCACAUUGCGCCCCUUGGUAUUCCGGGGGGCAUGCCUGUUCGAGCGUCAUUAUCACCCCUCAAGCUCAGCUUGGUGUUGGGGCCUGCCCGUCACAGGGCAGCCCUUAAAAGCAGUGGCGGUGCCAUCUGGCUCUACGCGUAGUAAUACUCCUCGCGACAGAGUCCCGGUGGUGUCCUGCCAGAACCCCAAAUUUUUUCAUGAUUGACCUCGGAUCAGGUAGGGAUACCCGCUGAACUUAAGCAUAUCAAUAAGCGGAGGAAAAGAAACCAACAGGGAUUGCCUCAGUAACGGCGAGUGAAGCGGCAAAAGCUCAAAUUUGAAAUCGGCCUCCAGGUCGAGUUGUAAUUUGUAGAUUGUAUCUUGAGAGCGGAUUAAAGUCUGUUGGAACACAGCGCCUUAGAGGGUGACAGCCCCGUAAAAUCUAUUCUCAUUGUAAGAUACUUUCGAAGAGUCGAGUAGUUUGGGAAU